rnacentral:rRNA from 1 species
UACGUAGGUGGCAAGCGUUGUCCGGAUUUAUUGGGUUUAAAGGGUGCGUAGGCGGCCCUGUAAGUCAGUGCUGAAAUAUCCCGGCUUAACCGGGAGGGUGGCAUUGAUACUGCAGGGCUUGAGUGAAGUCGAGGUAGGCGGAAUUGACGGUAUAGCGGUGAAAUGCUUAGAUAUCGUCAAGAACACCGAUAGUGAAGACAGCUUACUAGGCUUAUACUGACGCUGAGGCACGAAAGUGUGGGGAUCAAACAGG